UUAGAGUUUGAUCCUGGCUCAGGACGAACGCUGGCGGCGCGCCUAACACAUGCAAGUCGAACGAGCGAGAGAGAGCUUGCUUUCUCGAGCGAGUGGCGAACGGGUGAGUAACGCGUGAGGAACCUGCCUCAAAGAGGGGGACAACAGUUGGAAACGACUGCUAAUACCGCAUAAGCCCACAGGUCGGCAUCGACCAGAGGGAAAAGGAGCAAUCCGCUUUGAGAUGGCCUCGCGUCCGAUUAGCUGGUUGGUGAGGUAACGGCCCACCAAGGCGACGAUCGGUAGCCGGACUGAGAGGUUGAACGGCCACAUUGGGACUGAGACACGGCCCAGACUCCUACGGGAGGCAGCAGUGGGGAAUAUUGCACAAUGGGGGAAACCCUGAUGCAGCGACGCCGCGUGGAGGAAGAAGGUCUUCGGAUUGUAAACUCCUGUUGUUGAGGAAGAUAAUGACGGUACUCAACAAGGAAGUGACGGCUAACUACGUGCCAGCAGCCGCGGUAAAACGUAGGUCACAAGCGUUGUCCGGAAUUACUGGGUGUAAAGGGAGCGCAGGCGGGAAGACAAGUUGGAAGUGAAAUCUAUGGGCUCAACCCAUAAACUGCUUUCAAAACUGUUUUUCUUGAGUAGCGCAGAGGUAGGCGGAAUUCCCGGUGUAGCGGUGGAAUGCGUAGAUAUCGGGAGGAACACCAGUGGCGAAGGCGGCCUACUGGGCACCAACUGACGCUGAGGCUCGAAAGUGUGGGUAGCAAACAGGAUUAGAUACCCUGGUAGUCCACACCGUAAACGAUGAUUACUAGGUGUUGGAGGAUUGACCCCUUCAGUGCCGCAGUUAACACAAUAAGUAAUCCACCUGGGGAGUACGACCGCAAGGUUGAAACUCAAAGGAAUUGACGGGGGCCCGCACAAGCAGUGGAGUAUGUGGUUUAAUUCGACGCAACGCGAAGAACCUUACCAAGUCUUGACAUCCUGCGACGAUGCUGGAAACAGUAUUUCCCUUCGGGACGCAGAGACAGGUGGUGCAUGGUUGUCGUCAGCUCGUGUCGUGAGAUGUUGGGUUAAGUCCCGCAACGAGCGCAACCCCUAUCUUUAGUAGCCAGCAUAUAAGGUGGGCACUCUAGGGAGACUGCCAGGGAUAACCUGGAGGAAGGUGGGGAUGACGUCAAAUCAUCAUGCCCCUUAUGAUUUGGGCUACACACGUGCUACAAUGGCGUAAACAAAGGGAAGCGACCCCGCGAGGGAGAGCAAAUCUCAAAAAUAACGUCUCAGUUCGGAUUGUAGUCUGCAACUCGACUACAUGAAGCUGGAAUCGCUAGUAAUCAGAGGUCAGCAUACUGCGGUGAAUACGUUCCCG
rnacentral:rRNA from 1 species